AUAAAUGUGAAUAUCGGAUUUGUUUUCACCUCGCGUUAUGAAGAAAAAAUCGUUUUGCACGAAAUGCGAUGAAAAUAAAAUGUUUUUUUUACAUUAUGAAUAAUCUCUAACUUAAGUGUCUUCUAUAAUUAUAAAUUUGCAAAUGGUGUUUUAGCUCGAUUAGUACACGGAAAUAUACUUUAGACCAAUAAACAGCACGAUUUUGUUCGCGUUUUAUUUCAUUGAUUAUAAAAACAUUUUCUAAACUUUAUCAGUGUUUAUGAUACUGUUGUGAAGAAUGUGAGUUUUCACGUUUUGACAUAUCAUUUACCCAAAGAAUUUCUAGGACAGAGGAAGAACAGAGCAUUCUUGUCUGGAAAAAAAAAACGUUCAUGAUUUAUAAUUUCAUAUUAUAAAAAAACAGAUGUUUCCAAGGAAACGGAAUCGCAGGUAUUUAAAAACCAAUAUGUGUACAAAAGAAUGUUACACUGACCAACGCAAAAGCCCAUUCAGCCUAGAUAUGAAGCUGGAAACGAAUUACAACAUAUGAAAUAAAAAGCAGAUGUUUUCCUCAACAGUCCGCCAAUUUGAAUUGGAUCUGGAAAUCGAUUACCAUAUGAACAAUAACGAUUACCAUAUCAACAAUAAAUGGUCCAGUGACAUGGAAGGAAACAAGUUAGUAAAGAAAAAGUGUUGAAUGAUGGGGAAAGAGACAGUGCGGUUUCCGUUACCGUCAGUCUGACUGAAGUAUACGAUAUCUGAAGACCUAUUAUUCAAGUUCUUCUUUGAAAACAGGUUACAUUCUGUUACUUGUAACAUGCGUAAAUGUUGAGUUCUGCUCAACCCGGGGCUAGAGGGCGUGGACGGUAGCCAAUACAGUAAGCAUAGAAUGCAACCAUGCAGACUCAAACCAGAAAAUAUAACAACACGGAAUCCAAGUACGGGGAGACAUUUUAUAACCACUAGACAGCAGUUAAAGUCUGCUGCUGUGAUAGAAGAGUCUCAGUAUAACCACCUAACAAGACAGCACUGGAUUCUUUUAUUCUGGAAAUUAAACAUUAAAAGUACGUUAGUCGUUCAAAAGCUGUGACAACUGUUAAACAGCUCUGGAAGAAUUGGAUUUUAAUCACUUACUUCUUCGUGUAAAGGUUUUAUCGCAAUAAUAUUUCCUGGAAACAUUUUACUUUUGAGAUAAAUCUUUUCAGUAAACUUCGCUUUAUCAAGAUGAAUUUUAAAGUAUCACGAUAGCUACCUAGCUAUCACGUGGCAGAAAUAUGCCACCAUAGAUGUUUAGUACUUCCGCGAAAUGCGAUAAAAGCUCUACCAGACAUGUUUAAUGGGUUUUGAACCUAAAGCGGGAUUUUUAUCAGAUAUUAAGAAUGUGUACAGGUAUUAAGCUUGAAGCAAGUGAAAGAUAUUAAUGUAGCCUAUGUACAAAUGUCAGACUGAAAUUCAGUUUUCUUUGGUUGUUGAAGCAGUAUAUAAUUGUAUGUGAAUCGAAGUGCCUUCUUUUCAGUUCUACAAAUCGAUUUUCACAAUUUAAUAUGCAAAAUGUAUCCAUAGCAAAAGCUUAUAGGUAGUGAACCCGUAUCGAAUCGACAUGUUUCGCGGUCAGUAGUAGCAAGCUGGGCAGUUAGGUAAUUAAACUCGGAAAUCAAAAUAAAAAUGAAAAAUUAUUACACAAUAUUUAACAUCUACAGUAUAUUUAUAGUGAAGAUGCCAUUUAGCAAAAAUGCUUAUUUUUCAACAACUUUCUACUUGCUUUAUAAAAAUAAAAGUUAACAAUUGCUGAAAACUAUGUUACACCUAGUUAUGUGAUAUUUCAGCAUAGGGCCUUUAUUGCAAAAGCAUCUAAAUGAAGAUGCGUAACAGUUCGUUUUUUAAAAGCGCUGAACUGUCAAAAUGUGUGGCCAGUUUAUGCAGUACUUUUCCUGAAAUUCAAAGUAUAAUUACAUCAGUAAAUUGGCAAUCGUUUUGUAGAGUAAUAUACGUUUUUAUAUGAUGUUAUAUUGCCAUGCAAAACAACUAUUUCUUUCUUUGAUUGGUGUGGUUUCAUUUGUUUUCCAAAACAUAGACAUAGCCGUUAAAUAAAAGUGCAUGGUGAGAGAUAAUUGUAAACAUGGAAACGUGCAUGAGAGCAUGCAAGCAUUUUUUUUUGCAUACAAGAGAAUCUGUUACAACACACUGAUAAGCAGACUGCAGUCUGCAGUUAUUUCUACAUUCCAGUUCGAUAUUAUUAAAAUGUUUCGCACAACUCAUAAAGAACUUAAAAGAACUGACUCUUAACACCUGACACUAAUUAAAGCCAUUCACAACGUUGCUAUUUGACAAAACAUAUCCGUUAUUACCGCAUAGGUAUUGAAGAUGUAUCUUAUUUUAAUUUUAAAACCAAUUGUGUAUUACAAUUAUGCUUAAAUAUCUCA